rnacentral:rRNA from 1 species
AUUGAACGCUGGCGGAAUGCUUUACACAUGCAAGUCGAACGGUAGAGGGGGCAACCCCUCGAGAGUGGCGAACGGGUGAGUAAUAUAUCGGAACGUGCCCAGUCGUGGGGGAUAACGUAGCGAAAGUUACGCUAAUACCGCAUACGAUCUAAGGAUGAAAGCGGGGGAUCGCAAGACCUCGCGCGAUUGGAGCGGCCGAUAUCAGAUUAGGUAGUUGGUGGGGUAAAGGCUCACCAAGCCAACGAUCUGUAGCUGGUCUGAGAGGACGACCAGCCACACUGGAACUGAGACACGGUCCAGACUCCUACGGGAGGCAGCAGUGGGGAAUUUUGGACAAUGGACGCAAGUCUGAUCCAGCCAUUCCGCGUGCAGGAUGAAGGCCCUCGGGUUGUAAACUGCUUUUGUACGGAACGAAAAGGUUUCCAUUAAUACUGGGAGCUCAUGACGGUACCGUAAGAAUAAGCACCGGCUAACUACGUGCCAGCCGCCGCCGUAAAAC